rnacentral:rRNA from 1 species
CUAGGAUUAGAUACCCUAUUAUUAGUAGUGUAAAGAGUAGCUUAGGUAUUAAUUGGUGUUCAUGAAACCUAGAGAAUUUGGCGGUGCUUUAGUCUUUUUAGAGGAACCUGUCCUAUAAUCGAUAAUCCACGUUGUUAUUACCUGGUUUGAUUAAGAGUUUGUAUAUCGCCGUCAGAAGGAAAUUUCUUGAGAAUAAUAAUUUUUUUGAUAUUGAGGGAUAAGAUGACAGGUCAAGGUGCAGCUAAUGAGUAGGGAGGAGAUGGGUUACAAUGUAAGGAAUGCAUAUGGAUUCUUCAUAUAAAGAGGGGAUGAAGGUGGAUUUAAGAGUAAUUUUUAUAAGAGUAGGGGUGAAGGUGGCUCUAAGGCGUGCACACAUCGCCCGUCACUCUCAUGAUUUUGAGAUAAGUCGUAACAUA